CAUGGUCUUCUGGGAAAGCCUUUGCGGCAUGGGAUGGGGUCGCGUCCUAUCAGCUUGAUGGCGGGGUAACGGCCCACCAUGGCUUCGACGGGUAGCCGGCCUGAGAGGGCGACCGGCCACAUUGGGACUGAGAUACGGCCCAGACUCCUACGGGAGGCAGCAGUGGGGAAUAUUGCACAAUGGGCGCAAGCCUGAUGCAGCGACGCCGCGUGAGGGAUGGAGGCCUUCGGGUUGUAAACCUCUUUUGUUAGGGAGCAAGGCAUUUUGUGUUGAGUGUACCUUUCGAAUAAGCACCGGCUAACUACGUGCCAGCAGCCGCGGUAAUACGUAGGGUGCAAGCGUUAUCCGGAAUUAUUGGGCGUAAAGGGCUCGUAGGCGGUUCGUCGCGUCCGGUGUGAAAGUCCAUCGCUUAACGGUGGAUCCGCGCCGGGUACGGGCGGGCUUGAGUGCGGUAGGGGAGACUGGAAUUCCCGGUGUAACGGUGGAAUGUGUAGAUAUC
rnacentral:rRNA from 1 species